UCCUAACACAUGCAAGUCGAACGAACUCUUCGGAGUUAGUGGCGGACGGGUGAGUAACACGUGGGAACGUGCCUUUAGGUUCGGAAUAACUCAGGGAAACUUGUGCUAAUACCGAAUGUGCCCUUCGGGGGAAAGAUUUAUCGCCUUUAGAGCGGCCCGCGUCUGAUUAGCUAGUUGGUGAGGUAAAGGCUCACCAAGGCGACGAUCAGUAGCUGGUCUGAGAGGAUGAUCAGCCACAUUGGGACUGAGACACGGCCCAAACUCCUACGGGAGGCAGCAGUGGGGAAUCUUGCGCAAUGGGCGAAAGCCUGACGCAGCCAUGCCGCGUGAAUGAUGAAGGUCUUAGGAUUGUAAAAUUCUUUCACCGGGGACGAUAAUGACGGUACCCGGAGAAGAAGCCCCGGCUAACUUCGUGCCAGCAGCCGCGGUAAUACGAAGGGGGCUAGCGUUGCUCGGAAUUACUGGGCGUAAAGGGAGCGUAGGCGGACAUUUAAGUCAGGGGUGAAAUCCCGGGGCUCAACCUCGGAAUUGCCUUUGAUACUGGGGUGUCUUGAGUAUGAGAGAGGUGUGUGGAACUCCGAGUGUAGAGGUGAAAUUCGU
rnacentral:rRNA from 1 species